UAGGGAAUCUUCGGCAAUGGACGAAAGUCUGACCGAGCAACGCCGCGUGAGUGAAGAAGGUUUUCGGAUCGUAAAACUCUGUUGUUAGAGAAGAACAAGGACGUUAGUAACUGAACGUCCCCUGACGGUAUCUAACCAGAAAGCCACGGCUAACUACGUGCCAGCAGCCGCGGAAAUACGUAGGUGGCAAGCGUUGUCCGGAUUUAUUGGGCGUAAAGCGAGCGCAGGCGGUUUCUUAAGUCUGAUGUGAAAGCCCCCGGCUCAACCGGGGAGGGUCAUUGGAAACUGGGAGACUUGAGUGCAGAAGAGGAGAGUGGAAUUCCAUGUGUAGCGGUGAAAUGCGUAGAUAUAUGGAGGAACACCAGUGGCGAAGGCGGCUCUCUGGUCUGUAACUGACGCUGAGGCUCGAAAGCGUGGGGAGCAAACAGG
rnacentral:rRNA from 1 species